rnacentral:rRNA from 1 species
UGCGAAGGGUGCAAGCGUUGCUCGGAAUUACUGGGCGUAAAGCGCACGUAGGCGGAUUGUUAAGUCGGGGGUGAAAUCCUGGAGCUCAACUCCAGAACUGCCUUCGAAACUGGCGAUCUUGAGUCCGGGAGAGGUGAGUGGAACUGCGAGUGUAGAGGUGAAAUUCGUAGAUAUUCGCAAGAACACCAGUGGCGAAGGCGGCUCACUGGCCCGAUACUGACGCUGAGGCACGAAAGCGUGGGGAGCAAACAGG